UUAUGGCUCAGGAUGAACGCUGGCGGCGUGCCUAACACAUGCAAGUCGAACGGGCCCCAGCGGCGGAACCCCCUCGGGGGCGAGGCUGCGAAGGGCCAGUGGCGGACGGGUGAGUAACGCGUGGGCAAUCUGCCCCACACCGGGGGACAACAGGGGGAAACCCCUGCUAAUACCGCAUAAGCGCACGGCAUGGCAUCAUGCAGUGUGAAAAAGCUCCGGCGGUGUGGGAUGAGCCCGCGUCCGAUUAGCUUGUUGGCGGUGCAGCGGACCACCAAGGCGACGAUCGGUAGCCGGCCUGAGAGGGCGGACGGCCACAUUGGGACUGAGACACGGCCCAGACUCCUGCGGGAGGCAGCAGUGGGGGAUAUUGCACAGUGGGGGGAACCCUGAAUGCAGCGACGCCGCGUGGGUGAAGGAGCAUUUCGGUGCGUAAAGCCCUAUCGACAGGGACGAUAAUGACGGUACCUGGGUAAGAAGCCCCGGCUAACUACGUGCCAGCCGCUGC
rnacentral:rRNA from 1 species